rnacentral:lncRNA from 1 species
UCCUGUCUGUUUCUCCCCCUCUUCUCUCUCCAUCGCUGCCGUCAUGUCUGCCGCCCGUGCUCCAGCCUAGUCCCGCGCGCGCCCCGGUCCAGCCUGGCCCCGCGGCUGCCGCCUGUCCGGCCGCGGGGGCGGCGCUUCGGUCCAGACCCGCGCGUCCGCGGACCGGCUCGGUUGCCUCGCCGGCUGAACCGCAGCGACACGUGGCGCAUUAGCGUGCCUGCCGGCACGACGGCGGCACACAUCCGGCCGCGCACGGGGUGCCGAUGCGGCCGGCCACGGGAGCUGCAACACGGGGGGCUGCGGCGGGGUGCUGCGCUGCACGGGGUAUGGCCGCGCGCCCAACACGUUAGCAGAAUUCGCGCUGAACCAGUUCAACUUUGCCAUUCAAAGGAGGAGACGAGCGAGGAGGCGACGAGCAUGGCAAAGGAGGAGCCGGACGCCAUGGAAGGGUGUAGAGAGGGAAGACGAAGAAGAAGAUGGAGGGUAUUUUGAUCUGUAAAUUUUAAAAAAUAUAUUGAAAGAGUAACUAGUGGUAUAUUUCUGUAAAUAUCGUGAAUAGUAAUAAUAUAUCUCCGAACUGCGAUAAUUGUAAUGGUAUAAGUCCAAUUAACUCUGUACAUAAUGAUCACUCUCAACCUCUACACAGCUAGUACGUGCGCAGCAUAAAACACUGACUCCACCAUUGUAACACUUGGAUUGCGAGAAACCUACUUCAAAAGCGACACCUCCAUGAAGAUGACGG